GUCGAAGAUGCUGGCCCGCGCACCGCUGAAGAACCCCCGCCAGUACUCCAGCGACGGCGGCGGCGGCGGCGGCGCCAUCCGAGCCAAGAUCGGCCGCCGCCGAUCAAACCAAAGCUCUCGCCUUUCUUGAAGAUUGCAGUCAAUCAAGGUUGGUUCUAUUUUUAGUCUUGGAAUUUAAUGCUAGGCGUUUUUCUUGAUCUCGCGGUUAUCGGUCCAAUCCAAUGGAACCGCGAAAAAUUAAUGUCUCAACCGGCGAUGGAUCCGUCGAGGAGAGAGGAGGGAGGACAGAGAGAGAGAGAAGGAAGCUCGCGCGGCUUCUUUUCUUGGGCAGCGCGAUCUGUCUCUCUUGGUAACGGCGCCGCUGUAUCUGUCUGCCUGUCUACGCCAAGCUGGGGGAGGUAGAGGCGGAGGCGGAGGUGGAGGUGGAGGAGGGCGACCAUGGAGAGCGACAGGGACGGGGCGGGUUGGGGGUGGGCCGGCUGGUGCUGCGAGGAGGACCGCGAUGGCGAUGGCGAUGGCGAGUGGGAAUGGGAAUGGAAUGGAUGCCGCAAUCCAAUCCAAUCCGGAUUCCUGUGGAUUUUCUUCACGAUGCGAUUCGAUGCGAACGAGAAAAGGGAGCAAAUCCCUGAGGGGAUGGGGGGGCGUCAUCGAUCGAUUCGUUGCGCUCGUUGGAGACUUUGAGGUGACUGGGCCCUCUACGUAGUCAGGUCCAGCCAAUUUAGCCUAUAGGCUACAUACUAAGCCCAGCGAUGCUGAAAAAUAAUAGAACACAAGCCCACAUAAUACUCGGGCCGACGGAAGCCCACAUGAUACUCGUUUGCUCCAAAAUGACCAACCCAGUUCGACGCGAGGGACUGGCCCAUGAAGUGUAGGUAGGCUUUUCUUUGUUAUUUUUUUUUAAAAAAAUUGAUGACAUGGACUUCUUUAUUCAUCGUGUAAGACCUAAUAUAACCUAACUAAAAAGUGUAUUGGAUUUUACUCCGUAUCACGUUAAUCUAAGUGUUUCUACAAUUUUAUCAAAGGCACUACAAAAAAUUAUUCAACUCGUAUCUUAUUUAUCAAAUGGAAUGUGGACGUCAAAAUGUAUCCAAAACAUGCACCUGCUUUGAAAGAUCCUUGUAUCUAAAGUUUGAACAAAAAAAAAAAACCUUUUAUCAAUCUCCCAUACCUGGCAGCACAGCAAACAUGAGAACUGCCCUGUUUUUUACCAUUCCACUGAGCUGAAGAUGCAACUAUGUGCUAGGACGUUCAUACGGUCGAGAAUGUCACUUUUGCUGCUUAGAUUAUGGCUGUGCAGAUCUUUUCGGGCCUGUGGACCAUUUGGAGUUGUUCAGCCGUGCCAUGAGGUUGCAAUAAUAUCUGCAUUCCAAAAUACAAUUCUUCUAUUGCGCUUGAUUGUGUGUAGCAAACCGAUCCUAGCUGCAGUAGUAUCCAUUGCAAUUAGUUUCUGCAAAUGCCCAGCUAGCUGUGCUCUAUAAAAGCCUUGAUGAUCGACGGAUCUCCCGAGCCAAGCCCAACAUCCAACUGCGUGAUGUGACGAUCCGUACGUGCGUUUGAAUGCCGCGAGAUCAACUAGCUGUGCUGAUCGCCGAGGAUUUCAAGGCUGCCGGCCAAAGGGGAUCCCGUUCAGGCAGACAUACACAGGGGCGCUUGACAGCGAUGCAUGCAUGAGCAUUAGCUGAAGGUUAGCGACGCGCGUGGUGGCACAUUAGAGAGUGCAGCUGGAGAGCGGUGACCGUGAUGAAAGAUCAUGUGCAUGGAGAGCUGAAACGAGGAUGGAAGCAGAGGGUGUGGUUGGGCUUGGAAGGCUACGUAGAUUCAACUAAAUUAAUUAAUUUCAGUGGUUCACUAUCGGCUGCAGUACACACAAUGCUUUCCAUAAUCAAAUGGGCGCAGAUCUUUUGCACGUUCUUGAAAUAAGAAAUUGUGAUCAUAUACUACUUGCCUUGUACUUUAAAUCUUGCUUAAUCAUUUGUCCUAUUUUCAUAUGUAAGAACCAACUGUGGUCACCCUUGGAUGAUGAGUGAUUAACAACAUUGUGUGGAAUGAUGUUGCUUUUGGCUUGUGAUGUGCAGGUCUAGAAUGCGACAUGGCGGUCAACGACGUGCGGUGAAGGUCAAGCGAAAGGUUUAUGCUGAUGGACCAAGGACGGUGAAGGGUGAAAACGAGUAGGCUUGGAACGAGAGACCCGAGGAGUCUGGGUGGAGUCAUAGGCGAUCCAUAUGGUGCAAGGAAGAGCAAGAGAACGUGACAGGAUGGAGACGGCGCCGGUCAAGUCAAGCGGGACGGAGGCGUCAAAGACUUGGCGAAGGCCAGACAUGCGUCGACAUCGAGGAGGUCGCGUGGCGGACAAGCGGAGAUAGACGGUUUGAGUGGUUUGGGCCUCAAAAUCAUCGUGCAGGCAGGUUUCCCGGUUUGGGCCUCAAAACCGGGGGCGAGCCCGGUGCAGCCGGAGCUUCGAGGAGGGCACGUGGCGUCAUCGUGAAGCUUGUGUCGAGGCAAAGUGAAGUCGUGAAGGCGGCGUGUCCGUCAAAUACGUCUAAAAAAAUAUGAACAGAUUUGCUCUUAAGAGGAUAUGUAGAUUUGCUCUUAAGAGGUUAUGUAUCGUAGUUGUAGUUGUAGGGAUAUUUUACUCUUUAGCCAUGGACGAUGGCUGGUUGAGGGGGCUCUCUUAGUUUUCAUUUUUCCUUUUUCACCAGGCUAACAGGGCUUUACGGUAGAAAGAGAGAGAGAGGAGAAGUGACUGCUUUUCUUUCGAUCUUCACAAGAGUGGGAGGAUGAGGUGGCUUCCUAGCCUUGUAUCAAAAUCUUGACUUAUUUGCUUAAUCCAUGACCUGGUUGAUUCGUCAAGUCUUACCUCUCCCAUCUUGUUCCUGGAUAUUUCUCUUUUACUCUAUGUUUGGGUGAUUUUCUGAGGAUUUUUCGUUCGUAGGAUUUGAGUGCUUUCUGAGACAGUUCUUUUGGGGGAUUCUAUACUAGUUCAUUCGUGAGUUUUCCUAUGGCAUUUCCCUAGCAUUUCCCCUGCUUAAAUCUCACGAUUUGUUUUUUCCCUAAAAUUGUUCUUCACCUAGGGUUUCUCUGUUAUCUGAAAUUCGAGUUAGAGGCUAAAUCUUUUUGUUGAUUCUGGUUGGAAUGGACUGCCUGUGACCUUGUGAGGCUACAAAUUUGUGUGAAUCAAAUUUGUUCUUGUGUCAGUCUGUUCUUUUGAGUUGGGUUGUUUGCAUGUGUGGUUUCUCUUCUCUGCUCCCUGUCGAGAGCAACACUGAUAGGUCUUCAGUUUGUGUUUGCUUGCAGCUUGCCCUGUUUACAGUUUUGAUUGUGGUCCUGAGCUUUUAUUCAGAUGGCCUGGGGUUGAGUUGUUCUGCUGCAGCUCGAAGGAAUUACCUUUCAGUUUCUGUGGGAAGCAAGCUGCCGAGCAGCUCUGGAAAUUUGCAAGCUUCCUAUGCAGGUUCAGCUUAGUGCUAAAAUAACAGCAGGAGGGUUGUGACUGGAAGUUUCACAUUAGUUUGCCAUUUCGACAGUUCCUUCAUGCUUGCAGUUUGCUAUUCAAGUACCAGCUAAAUUCGUUUGAUAUGUAGUGUCACUUUCAUGCAAUGGUGAAUCAACUGUUCACAUAAUCAUGGUUUAAUCUUUGAAGUAUUAGUUUAUUUCCUUGGCAAGGUUUUGGUGCUCGACAUGUACAAUUGCAAGGAGUUAGUUUUGAGUACUUUUGGACUCGCUGUCAGCUUGCAUCUAUGCCAGUAAUUCUUUUUGCUGUUACUUGAUCUCCUGGACUGUGCUACUGUGUUGUUAAUUUCUUAUAGUCAUAGUAGUACAGUUGCUUAGUGCAAGCUUGGUUCA
rnacentral:lncRNA from 1 species